AAAAAAGGUAAGCUACUAAGAGCGAAUGGUGGAUGCCUUGACUGGUAAAGGCGAUGAAGGACGUACUAGACUGCGAUAAGCUACGGGGAGCUGUCAAGAAGCUUUGAUCCGUAGAUUUCCGAAUGGGGCAACCCAAUGUAUAGAGAUAUACAUUACCUAUAUAGGAGCGAACGAGGGGAAUUGAAACAUCUUAGUACCCUCAGGAAAAGAAAUCAAUAGAGAUUGCGUCAGUAGCGGCGAGCGAAAGCGCAAGAGGGCAAACCCAGUGCUUGCACUGGGGGUUGUAGGACUGCAAUGUGCAAGAGGUGAGUUUAGCAGAACAUUCUGGAAAGUAUAGCCAUAGAGGGUGAUAGUCCCGUAUGCGAAAAACAAACCUUAGCUAGCAGUAUCCUGAGUAGGGCGGGACACGAGAAAUCCUGUCUGAAGCUGGGUCGACCACGAUCCAACCCUAAAUACUAAUACCAGAUCGAUAGUGCACAAGUACCGUGAGGGAAAGGUGAAAAGAACUGAGGUGAUCAGAGUGAAAUAGAACCUGAAACCAUUUGCUUACAAUCAUUCAGAGCCCUAUGUAGCAAUACAGGGUGAUGGACUGCCUUUUGCAUAAUGAGCCUGCGAGUUGUGGUGUCUGGCAAGGUUAAGCAAACGCGAAGCCGUAGCGAAAGCGAGUCUGAAUAGGGCGCUUAGUCAGAUGCUGCAGACCCGAAACGAAGUGAUCUAUCCAUGAGCAAGUUGAAGCUAGUGUAAGAACUAGUGGAGGACUGAACCCAUAGGCGUUGAAAAGCCCCGGGAUGACUUGUGGAUAGGGGUGAAAGGCCAAUCAAACUUCGUGAUAGCUGGUUCUCUCCGAAAUAUAUUUAGGUAUAGCGUUGUGUCGUAAUAUAAGGGGGUAGAGCACUGAAUGGGCUAGGGCAUACACCAAUGUACCAAACCCUAUCAAACUCCGAAUACCUUAUAUGUAAUCACAGCAGUCAGGCGGCGAGUGAUAAAAUCCGUCGUCAAGAGGGAAACAACCCAGACUACCAGCUAAGGUCCCUAAAUCUUACUUAAGUGGAAAACGAUGUGAAGUUACUUAAACAACCAGGAGGUUGGCUUAGAAGCAGCCAUCCUUUAAAGAAAGCGUAAUAGCUCACUGGUCUAGUGAUUUUGCGCGGAAAAUAUAACGGGGCUAAAGUAAGUACCGAAGCUGUAGACUUGCGCACAACUUAGAUUAUUUAAGUUUAGAAUAUGAGAAACUAAGUUAUAUGUUUAGUUAUAUUUUUACUGAUUUUUAUAGAGUAAAGAUAGAAAUAAAACUUAGUAAAAUCAGUAAAAAUAUUCUUAGACUAAAGUUAAGUAGUUUAAGUUGUGUGCAAGUGGUAGGAGAGCGUUCUAUUUGCGUCGAAGGUAUACCGGUAAGGAGUGCUGGAGCGAAUAGAAGUGAGCAUGCAGGCAUGAGUAGCGAUAAUUAAUGUGAGAAUCAUUAACGCCGUAAACCCAAGGUUUCCUACGCGAUGCUCGUCAUCGUAGGGUUAGUCGGGUCCUAAGUCGAGUCCGAAAGGGGUAGACGAUGGCAAAUUGGUUAAUAUUCCAAUACCAACAUUAGUGUGCGAUGGAAGGACGCUUAGGGCUAAGGGGGCUAGCGGAUGGAAGUGCUAGUCUAAGGUCGUAGGAGGUUAUACAGGCAAAUCCGUAUAACAAUACUCCGAGAACUGAAAGGCUUUUUGAA
rnacentral:rRNA from 1 species